rnacentral:tRNA from 1 species
GCUCCUGUAGUCUAGCGGUUAAGGAUUCUGGCCUCUCGAGCCAGGGACCCGGGUUCGAAAGGUGUCUUUACUUCCCAAAACCUGGAAAUGCUUCGCGUUUCCCGGACGGGAAAGAAAAUCCCGGCGGGAGCACCA